rnacentral:rRNA from 1 species
GACGAACGCUGGCGGCGUGCUUAACACAUGCAAGUCGAACGGAGUGGCGAACGGGUGAGUAACACGUGGGUGACCCGCCCUGCACUUCGGGAUAAGCCUGGGAAACUGGGUCUAAUACCGGAUAGUGUGGGAUGGGCCCGCGGCCAAUCAGCUUGUUGGUGGGGUAAUGGCCUACCAAGGGGGCGACGGGUAGCCGGCCUGGGAGGGGGGACGGCCACAGUGGGACUGAGGCACGGCCCAGACGCCGACGUGAGGCAGCGGGGGGGAAUAUUGCACAAUGGGCGGAAGCCUGAUGCAGCGACGCCGCGUGGGGGAGGACGGCCUGCGGGGUGUAAACUCCUUUCACCAUCGACGCGGUAGAUGGAGAAGAAGCACCGGCUAACUACGUGCCAGCAGCCGCGGUAAUAC